GACGAACGCUGGCGGCGUGCUUAACACAUGCAAGUCGAACGAAGAGCGAUGGAAUCUUGCUUCUAUCAAUCUUAGUGGCGAACGGGUGAGUAACGCGUAAUCAACCUGCCCUUCAGAGGGGGACAACAGUUGGAAACGACUGCUAAUACCGCAUACGAUCUAAUCUCGGCAUCGAGGAUAGAUGAAAGGUGGCCCCUACAUGUAAGCUAUCACUGAAGGAGGGGAUUGCGUCUGAUUAGCUAGUUGGAGGGGUAACGGCCCACCAAGGCGAUGAUCAGUAGCCGGUCUGAGAGGAUGAACGGCCACAUUGGGACUGAGACACGGCCCAGACUCCUACGGGAGGCAGCAGUGGGGAAUCUUCCGCAAUGGACGAAAGUCUGACGGAGCAACGCCGCGUGAGUGAUGACGGCCUUCGGGUUGUAAAGCUCUGUUAAUCGGGACGAAAGGCCUUCUUGCGAAUAGUGAGAAGGAUUGACGGUACCGGAAGAGAAAGCCACGGCUAACUACGUG
rnacentral:rRNA from 1 species